UAAAUAGCCCGGCCCGCUUUUGCGGGUCGCUGGCUUCUUAGAGGGACUAUCGGCUCAAGCCGAUGGAAGUUUGAGGCAAUAACAGGUCUGUGAUGCCCUUAGAUGUUC
rnacentral:rRNA from 1 species